rnacentral:Y_RNA from 1 species
GCAUAAAAUGCGUUAAGGACUACAUCUUUAAUGCGUAGGUCGGUGGUUCAAAUCCACCCUUUUCACGCUUUUCCAAGUUUGAAAAGUAGCUCAGUUGGAUAGAGCAACGAAACGUCUUUAACAUUUUGUUUAUGCAAA